UUUUCUCUAAAGGGACCGAUGACGACGUGGCAAAACUAAUUCACCUGAGAGGUGAAAAGGAGCACCUCUUCUCAGGGAAGCGUUUUGCGUCAGCAGCUGGAUGGGAAGCUGUGUUGAAAGACAUGGGCCUUGCUGGCCUGGUGAGUCCUGCCAGAGCCGCCAAGAAGUGGGAGAACCUCAAAAAGACGUACAAGGCUCAAUUAUGUCUCCAUCUCUGAGACAGAAGUUUUGCAAAAUGGCACAACAUGCAAUGACCCUCACGGCGAAAACAGGAUGAACUUCCAGAGCCUUGAAAAACACGGAACGCCACCUGGUCUUCAUAAUG